GGGAUACUCUGCAGGUCCUGGAAGGACAAAGGAGCAAUCGGAUUUCACAUUACAAGUUAACCGGAUCGCGCUCUGCACCAGCGUUCUCCAGCCAGACUGACUGUUUCUCAUGCAUGCGUAGCUAUGCGACAAAAAAAUUGCGGCCAACUAGAAAACAAGAACGCCCAUACAUGUCUCAGACAUUCUACAGUCCAUUAAUGAACAAUGCUGGCACGAAAGGAUGUCCGCCUCGGCUUUCAACGGGUCACGUCAAUGUCAAUCUAGAUGGUUCCUACAGUAUAGGAUCCGCUCAGUGGAGAUCUUCUAUAUAAGAUCCUUCUCCUGAUUGACCUGUCAAGGAUGGAUAGGGACAGGGAAAAGAUGGUGGAGAGUAUAUUAAAUCUCACCCUAGAGAUCCUCUUCCGGCUUACUGGAGAGGACUACACAGUAGUGAAGAAGACCUCUAGUGAGCGCUGUCAGGACCCU